rnacentral:lncRNA from 1 species
UAUGGAUGACAUCAUUCCUCCAGCUGCUCAGCAUGAAGAAGGUCAGUUGGUGAUAAUCCCUGCCAAACGUGUCCAAUAAGCACAGAUGAAGAGUGGAGCCUACACAUCAUCAUAAUCUUCUUCCCUCUGAGAUUGUGGACUCUUUUGGAUGAACACAGCAUGGUCCAGGACUUCACAUAAUUUCAGGGGAUAUGUCUAGCCAGAAGGAAACGGAGCCAGACAGCAGCCACUCUUGGUGGCAUUGUUCCAUGGCAAACUGGAAGAUAAUCCACGAGAAAAUCCACUGGAAAUAUCUGACAUCUACCCCUGAAGGAGACUUCUGUUCAGCUGAGAGUCCACACUUGCCUGGGACUUCCAGUAGGAUGCUGCCAGAGGUAGGUACUUCAGAAUUAGUUCCACUUCUGUAACAGCCUGCCUUGAGUGAAAACGGAAGUAAAAUUUGGCUUCAGAAUGG